AUGUAUAAGCCAUAUUUUUCCUUGGACCGCUACACUGCAAAAAUGAAGCAGCAAUAUGGGCCAAAAUACAAUUUUUCCAACUUUGACCCAAUAUUGUGGCAAUGUUUCUGCUUCAUUCGCUCCCGCAGCACCCCCAUCAUAUA
rnacentral:lncRNA from 1 species